UUUCUCUCUAGUUGAGGUUUUAUGUAACACUACAUGUUUCUCAAGUGUUGUGUGAUCAGUUUGAUCAGGCAAGCAUCUUAAAAGUCCUCUGAGGACUAGCAUUUUAAUCAGUCAAUGCCCUGCAUAGGUCAAUGAAAUCUCUGAUCCAACAGGAGAUAAGGGGAGAGGGUUAUUCCUGGCCUGGGGGCAGAGAGAGAAGAGGCGUGGGAGGGUCGUCUCAGCUCUUUUUAGGGAAAUUGAUGGCCUCAAAGCAAAAUUUUCUCCAGGACGAGAAAAAGGGAAAAAGCAGCAUUUAGGCCCAUGACUAGGCAUUCCUAAUCUACUUCUUGGCUAUGUCUAAAGUUCAGUAAAGAAUACUUUGCCACUUUAAAACACUUCUAGUGAGCAUCUUUCGUCAUUGCCAGGGGAAGCAAAUAAAAAUCAGGUGCAUCAGGAGCCUGGCAGCCAGUGCCCAGGCAUUGUGGUCAGCCAACCGAGAAGACUCGCUCCAAGUUUCCAGGAGGGGUUCAACCCAGCAGGAUUUGGAAGAUCUCCGGUUCAUUCAGCUGCACUUCUUGUCAUGGGAUAUGGCAGCGCGUCUCAAACUUGCCUGGGAACCGGACGCAGAGAAGCCAGGAGCCGGAGCCCAGAUUUGGGCACAACUUCUCCCUAGGGGUCUGCUUGUUCAGACGAGGCGUCGAGGCAACUGUCUGCACAGUCGUCAUCGUAACUAGAAAGUAGCGGGGGUACUGGAACAGCUUCGUUGCUUUAGAAUAGGCCGUCUCGCCGUUCAUCAUAUUUGAGACUUCUCUCAGGGCCCAUCUUCCUCACCAAAAACCAAAACAAAACAAACAAAGUUGUUUGGAGAUCCUAACGAAGCAGGUGUAGGUGGGGCCCUGGAAUCUUUAACAAACAUCUCUGGUGA
rnacentral:lncRNA from 1 species